rfam:Ictidomys tridecemlineatus contig082043, whole genome shotgun sequence.
UGGGGUGUGGCUCAGUGGUAGAGUGCUUGCCUUGCACGUAUGAACCUCUGGGUUCAAUUUUCAGCACCACAU